CCCAAAAAGAUCACACACUCGUGGCACCUGCGGCAGAACAGAUGUUCCACAUCCGCUGCCGAGGUUUGUGAAUGGUGGCACUGGCUAACACUCCCAAAGUUGGUUAAUUUAUUUAUUUGAGUACCUUCAGGGCCCAUAGGGCAUUACGGAAGGGAGUGGUAACAAUAAACAGAGACAAAAAAAUGCAAAGCAAAUAUUAGGUAACAUAUUCAAGCACAUUUUUAAAGUCAUUGGGGUCUGUAAUAGAUACAUACAAUGGAGGUGGGCAAGUGGUUCCAAUCAUUACAAGUUUGAGGAAUAAAAGAAUGAAAGUGUUGGUUAGGGUGACAAUGAAGAACAAACGCUUUAUAAUGGUGGUCGAUACGAGAUGAUAUGAAUGAAGGGUGGGAAAGUAAUUCAUGCUUAAUAUGAGAGUUAUGGUAGUUAAUCUUCUGAAAUAAGCAAAGACAUGCUAUUGUAUUUUCCUGCGCAAUGAAAGGGACGGAAGCCGUAACGCUGUUUUCAUAGAUGAAACACUGGAAAGACAGGAGUAGUUGGAAAAAAUUAAGUGUGCGCUACGAUUCUGUACUGUUUCAAAGGGACUAACCAAGACUUUCAGUAAAUGGAUCCCACACAGCUGAUGCAUAUUCUAGUUUGGAACGAACCAAAGUUUUAUAAAGGACUUUAAGAGAAGGGGCCAUUGAAAAAUUACGGCACAGGUACCCAAGAUGCGGUUAGCAUUACUGACAAUAUAAUUAAUGUGUGGUUGCCAAGACAGGUUAGAAUUAAUGUGGACCCCUAAGUAUAUGUAAAUAGUCACUUCUUCGAGAGGAGAACCAUUUAUGUUGUACUUACAAGUGUUAAUGGAUAGUUUACACGAGAAAUUUGUACGAGUUUGCACUUUGUUGCAUUGAGUUUCAUUUUCCAUGUGCUGCACCAAUUGGAAAUAUCAAGGUCAGUCUGUAGUAGUGAUGUGUCAUUAUCGGAGGAAAUCACGUGUAUACAACACAGUGAUGUUCAGAAAGCCUAAUAGAGGAGUUAAUACAAUCAGGUGAAUCGUUUAUGUAAAUUAGAAAAAGAAGGGGCCGAAGGACAGAACCUUGGGGCACUUCUGAAAGGACAGGACUGAGAGAAGAAUCGUAGCCAUUAGCAGUUACAAAUUGCUGUCAAUUUAACAAAAAGAUUUUUAUCCAAGCAAGAAUGUUAAGGUCAAAAUUUAGUAUACUUAGCUUAAGAUAAAGUAGUUCAUGGCAGACAAGGUCAAAAGCUUUUGAGAAAUCUAAGAACACACAAUCAAUAUGAAAUCCCAAGUCUAGAGCUAUAGAUAGUUCAUUAGUAAAUGAAAUUGUUUGUGUUUACAGGAGAAUGUCUUCCUGCAACCAUGCAUGCUGACAUGUGAAAAAAUUAGCAUCAAGAAAGUUAACCAGUGGAAGGUCAGGAAGGUGAUUCCACUACACAAUUUCAGUAACAAGGAUUCGACCAUCAAGUAGCAUCUCCAUUUCAUUAACUAGCAUCCUCUGUAAACUAUAUUCACAGCAGAAUAAAGUUCUUGGUUCCAUUUCAA